AUGUCUGCUCAGGUGGCUUACGGACUUCCAUGAAAGGAGGAAGUCAAAAGGAGAACUUGGAAAAGUUUGGUUUUACUCAAUUAAUCAAGUUAUUUUACUACAGCUCCCAAAAUCCUGCAGCCAGCAUGCUGGCUGAAAGAUUGCGGGAACUGUAAUCUUGAAAAGAAAAGAAAAGAAGGAAUGUUUCCAAUCUCUGCUCAACAGCUUUUCCAACCUCCGAGUAUAUGAUCUCUGCUCUUUCACUCACCAGGUUCCUGUGUGUAAGCUUGAUAGGAGGGAGGAAGAGGAAGAGCCAUCUUGUCGUCCUGGACAGGAGGACUGUCAUCAAGCAGUGCCACUUUCCUUAAGAUGUGUAAAAUACCAGGAGACCAGAGAAGCAAAGCAAUUCCUUGAAACUUCAAGACAACACCCUGAAACCUAGCAAACCUGGACCCCUAACCCCACAGGACCAAGACUGUGGAUCUGACUCCAUUUCUCAAAUUCAGUGUCUGCUACUUUUUGAAAACAAGACCUGCAUAUAAGAUGUAGUGGGUGAGAAAGGAGAAAGUCACACACAGAAUGUUUUUCAGGAGGAACAAGGUGGCAGAAGGAAGAAAAAUGAGGGCAGGGUUGGUGCACACAUUCUGGAAGAUGUAUUUGAACUUUUUUCCUGGAAAACAUCAUAAGGCAUUUCAAUUUAAUUAUACGAAAGCUUCCCAUAAGUUUCCUUCUUCAUUUCUCUGCUCCCACAAUCUUUAUGCAUAGGAGGCUGGUAGACAUUAAGUUUUUUACCGUCUUACUAGUCAACUUUUCCCAUCUUUCCAAGUUCUACCAGGAAGGUGAUCAAAUGUUAAUCCAACCACAUUCUAGUUUCUUUUCUUCUUAGCAGCCAGCUUUGUAUGUGCUUUAGCAUUACGGCCUCAGACCAGAGGAAGCUGUUAGUGUUCCUGGCCUGCCUGUGAAAUGGGAACAGGCAGUGCAAUCAUGACUCGAUGGGCCAAUUGUAGAGGGUUAGGAUUAGGAAUGGAUCUAACUAUUCAUUAGAGGU